ensembl:lncRNA novel transcript, antisense to FERMT2
CUCGCUCCCCAAGGCCUUUCCCACCGCGUCAUUGUCUCGGUUUAUCUGCAGAUACGUCUACCUAGCAGUCAGCCCAGCAGCGUAAGUGGUGACCAGUGUGGGCCUCUUUGAUCCUGAGACCGAAGGCUCGGCCACUGGCCCUCUCCAUUUGUUCCUUGUUGCCCUCCCUUCAUGAUUCAAUCCAUUAAUUAGGACUUUUCCUACCAGCUGGCAGUUCAGAGCUCCGCAUCCCCAGGCCUCUGAGUCACAGUUCCUGCCUUCAUGAAACUAGGAGUUGGGGCCACUGCAUUCUACUCCUUCGGGACUAUUGUUUCAUUUCUCAGUCCCUCAAACCCUUUAUUGGAUGAACAUGGGGUUAGGACAGCGGUUCUCCACUGCAACAGUUUUGCCUCCCAGGAGACAUUUGGCAAUGUAUGAAUCAUUUUCAGCCUCUCAUCUGGGGUGAGAUGUCAUUGGAAUCUACAGAUGGUGGAGGGCACAGGUUCACUUGGCAAUGAGGAGCCCAAGAUAACCAGGAGACAGUCUCAACUUCUGGUUUAAUGGAACCAUUGGUCCUAAUUUCAACGUAUUUCCAUAUGUUCUUUAAAAUCACCUGAAACUGCCCUGCGCAGGCUCACACCACGGCUCUGUACCAAGGGCUUGGACCCGCCUGCAGCCAGACGGCAUCUCACUAGAUGUCAUCAUCAUCAAAGAGAUCUUCAAAACCAUUUAAAAAGUCUACAUGAACAGCCUUUUCAUUAGUUGCCAAGUCCAUCAAGAACCUGGUGCUGCCUCCCGCCUCGUCCAGGUCCACGUAGGGCCCGGCGCCCUUGGAAACAUCUCAUCCACGGCCAGCUACAUCUUGGGCUGCGGCGCUCUAGGCCCACUUCCGGCCACGGGGCCGCUUCCUAUUUUUCUAUUUUUUAACAACUCCCCAUAUUAAUAUUCAUUCACUCAUUGACUGUUAAGCCCUUCUAUGUAUCAGGAAUUGUUCUAGGUACU